rnacentral:lncRNA from 1 species
UCUUGGCUCACUGUGGAUCCUCUUCCUCCUGGGCUCAAGCCAACGUCCCACUUCAGCCUCCCAUCAUGCCCGGCUAAUUUUUGUAAAUUUUUUUGUAGAGGCAGGGUUUCCCUACGUUGCCCAGGCUAGUCUGGAACUCCUGAGCCCAAGUGAUCCGCCCGUCUCGGCCUCCCAAAGUGCUGGGAUUACAGGCGUGAGCCACCGUGCCCGGCCUCAUUUAUGAAACUCUUAUCUGGCAGGCAAUGUGCAAUGUGCUUGGCAUAAAUAUCUCAUAUCCUCACAAUAAUCGUGUAAGGAAGAAACUCGGACUCAACCUCAAGAUAAGCACCAAAGCUCAUUUUAAACCUCACUGCCCUCUGCAAGAUAACUAUACAGAUGCUCCUCGAUUUAUGAUGGGUUGCUUCCCGAUAAGCCCAUCGCAAAGUUGAAAAAUCCCCUAAGUCGAGCCACCCUAAGUUGGGGACGCCUGCAUCAUGCUUUCAGAGGUGAAUGUAAAGUGGGUGAAGCGGCUCAGUGAUUGAGCGCUAGCCAGGAUUCCACGCCAGGCCUUUCCGUGUUCAACAGCUGCUUUCAGAAGUGUGGAAGCCUCGGAGAGGGUCCCUGAGGUAAGAUGGGCUGAGCGUCGCCGCCUUCUGCAAGGACACCAGCCUUGAGAGAAGAGAGGAGAUAAGGUGCAAACGAAGAAAGGCAGGGACGCCGCGGUUUCAGUCGAAGCGUGGGCUCCUUAAGGACAGGGGCUGUGUCCGACUCGGCUCUGAAUCCCCAGCGCCUACACAAGCUCUGACACAGCGUAUACUCAGUAAACAUGGAGUGAAUCAGUUCAUUCAAUGAAUGAACGAAUGAAUGAAACGCCAGAGCCCGCCACAGGGGUCCGCUGCCGCUCCACGCCCGGGCCUCUCACCGGCCAAUCAACACUGUGACUCGUACGCCCUGCCCCCUGAUGCCACGCCCAUCACUCGCCCCUCUGGAUUCCCUCCGGCUGCGUGGAAAUCCCGGAGCACUGGAUUUCCCAGAGGCGCCUCCGGUAGCAGUGCGCAUGCUCCAGCGCCGGUAGCUGAGGCAUCAAUUUCCCGCAGCGCCUAGGGGACGGAUUGGAAAGCGAUUGGCUUAGGGGACGGAAGCCAAGCUCCACCUGCCUGACACCCGGCUCUUCACGCAGAACCGAAGAUUCAUUUUGGACAGCCCUUCCCCAGUACCACUCCCACCCCGACGUUGGUCCCAAUCGGAACCUAUCCUACACAAGGCUGAAAAAAAGAGGGGAGCGACCGGAAGUGACGCACGAGCGCGAGCGGAAAAACAGGGGCCCAGCGCCUGUUGCCGUGGAAACCGAGCCCUCGGCUUGCGUCCCGGGUGCGUCACAGCUCCGGCUGACCACGCCCCGCGCGCGGCCCCGAGGCCCUGAGGCCCAGGGCGGGGACCAAAAGCCGCGCGCUUGUGACGAUGUCGCUGCGGGGCACGCUAAGGGGCGGAGAGGAAAUUUAGGGCCUGCCUUUUGUACAUUCGGUUAUUCAGCCCAGAAAUAUGUAUUCAACCCCAGGCGCGUGCCUGGCAUUGUGGAAGGCGACACGUGAGGAGAAUUGUGACUGGCCCAGAUGUCACCCCCCCCCAGCCCAGUAGUCAUUCUUCUCUGGAAGUCCUUACCCAUCUCACCUGUUCAUUCUUCAACCCCCAGUUUCCCGACCUUUUUCCUCAAGCCACGCCCUUCCACGCUUUCUUGUCUUUUCUGUGGUGUUCCUUCAGUCUAGAAUAUUCUCCACCUAGUACAAUCCUGCUCCUCCCCUGACAUUCUGCUGAAAUUGCACUCUUCAGCCUUCCCAGCUACCAGGAUGAGACAACUCUACUCAGACCCAAGCACACCAAGCCAGGAAUGCACAAAGGACGGCUGAUGUUUGAGAUAAGAACUGUCUCAAGGACUUUCUAUAAUAACCACACAAGGAAUUCCUCAUGUACGUCACAAGUCUCAUGCGUUUCUCCACCUACGUUUUGCACAUGUGCACACAUUUAUUGAUUUAGAGGCAGGGAUCUUGCUGUGCUGCCCAGACCGGACUCAAAUUCCUGGGCUCAAUCGGUCCUCCUGCCUCAGCCUCUAGAGUAGCUGGGACUCCAGGCAUGCGCCACCCUGUUAUUUCUGUGACCAGGCUUAGCACUAGGCAUUCUUUCGGACGACAGCAAUUCAAAUAAGAUGCUCUCCAAAGAACACUUGCCUAGUAGCGGCAUCUCCAAAAAUAAAUUGAUGCCGCUCCGGCUUUGAGCCUCCAGAACCAAAGAAACCUGUUUCCAGACAGCUUAUGUGAACUUCUACUUUUGGCCAAUAAGAGCUCCCACUUACCCCUGCCCUAUUCAGGUGCACCUGUGGCUUGCCAUAGCCAUAUAGCCAGGUGCACCAUCCUUUUUGCCUGCUCCUGAAUAAAUUAAUUAUAUUAGGAGACAUCUUUCUCUGAUGUCUUUUUUAGGUUAGCAACUCUAAUAUGUUGGAAGAAUACAGGCCAGCUACUUUGUAGAAUGUUCCUCAAUUUGAGUUUGUAUGAUGCUUUCUCAUGAUUAGAUUCAGGUUAUGUAUGUUUUGCAAAAAUACCUCAGAAGUGAUGGCAUCCUUGGUGCGGCAUCCUUGGUGCAUUAUAUCAGGAGGCAAAUGAUGUGGGUUUGUCCCAUUGUUUGUAAUGGUAACAUUGGUUGCUUGGUUAAGGUGAAGGGUGCCAAGCUUCUCCACUGUAAAGUUCCUAUUUUUUUCUCUGUAAUUAAUAAGUAAUUUGUAUGAUACUUUGAGAUAACAAAGUAGACUGUUCAUCAAACUUUCAUCAAUGAAUUUAACAUCCAAAGACGCCUCAAGAAUGAUCAUCAAAAGCAGCCUACUAAUGACUGUCAUUUACCAUUUAAUACAUUUCAAACAGUGCACGUGCUCUGUGACAUAUUCUGGGAAGGAACAUGUUACCUGAUACAUAAUAGGUGAUCAA